rnacentral:lncRNA from 1 species
AAGGUGUACACGGCCACGUAUAUCAGCCUGCGCGCCCGGGAGCCAGCAUCGAGGGGGCGGAGCAACCCCUUAGUCUCCACCAUGAUACGUCAUCAUUACAAUAGGUGUAGUGGAAGCGUCUGAGUUCUGUGUGUUUUUCUGGAAGCAAUAACUUGACGGCCAACGUGGUCCAGGAGCGCGCCGCUCUUGAUGAAGAGAAAUUCCUUCGGCUCAGUUGUGGAACAUACCAAGAAAAUUAUGAUGUGAUCUGGAAAAAAGAAGGGCAAGAAGUUGCUAGCAUAAAGAAGGGAAUCAAAUCACUGCAGGAAAAUUUUGGCUUAACAGAGCGUGGAACCCUUGUGGUGUCCGAAGUGCGCAGGUCCGACGCAGGAGAAUACACCGCGAUGCUGCUUGACAGCUCGCAAAACAAAUUGUGUGAAAUGACUGUGCAGCUGAGUGUGUCAGAUUCCAGUGACCCCCCACCUGAGCCAACAAAGAAACCUGAGAAAAGCCCACCUAAAGAUCCCAAAGCACCACCCCCCCAUAAGCCAAAACCUGGACUGGCCAAACCUAGAGCUUCUGCUUCCAUCAUCACUGCAAGCAUCUCUGCUCAUGUGAUACUGUUAUUGGUGUGGAUUUUGGUGUGAAAAGGUUCCAGGCCAUGAUUUCCACACCUUGAGAAUUCCCAGGUCAGUCUCAGUGAGUACCUCCUGCUCGACUGAGUAUAAUGCGGUUUCCUACGGUAAAGUUACCCAUAUACGGCACAGGUCCCCUCCCCUAUUGCUGCAGUUAUAAACUCUGUCCUGUGGACUAAAACUUUAUAUUGUUGGUCAUGAAGAGCCUCCAGGUAUAAAUCCGUUCAAUUUCAUGACACAAUUAAAACAUGUUUUUUUGCAAUCUUUAAACUUCUAGCCAUUACUUGCUGUCUGUAUCAUAGCCACUUGUGCAACAUCUGACUGUGUG